ensembl:misc_RNA Metazoa_SRP Metazoan signal recognition particle RNA
GCCAGAUGUGAUGGCGCAUGCCUGCAGUCCCAGCUACUUGGGAGGCUGAGGCAGGAGGAUCACUUGAUCCCAGGAGUUCUGGGCUGUAGUGUAGUAUAUCAGUCAGGUGUCUGCACUAAGUUCUGCAUCAAUCAGGUUGCCUAAGGAUGGUUGAACUAACCCAGGUGGAAAUUGGAGCAGGUCAAAACUUCAGCGCAGUGCUGAUCAGUAGCAGGAUCGCACCUGUAAAUAGCCACAGCCCUCCAGCCUGGGCAACAUAGUGAGAUGCCAUCUCU